rnacentral:misc_RNA from 1 species
UUUCAACGUCAAGCCUGGCUUGCUAUUGGACUCGCUGUCCGGCUAAAGGACACGUCCCAAAGAUAAUGACGGUGUCGAGUGUGACCCCAGAUGCAAUGAGCUUUGUUAAGCACGCAUGUCAGGGACCACCCGGCCCGGUCUCAACCACUUUUCUCA